rfam:Triticum urartu cultivar G1812 contig729327, whole genome shotgun sequence.
AUAGUACUCCCUCCGUCCCAAAAUUCUUGUCUUAAAUUUAUCUAGAUAUGGAUGUAUCUAAUACUAAAACGUGACUUGAUACAUUGGUAUUUAGACAAAUCUAAGACAAUAAUUUUGGGACGGAGGGAGUAUAAA